rnacentral:rRNA from 1 species
AGAGUUUGAUCAUGGCUCAGAACGUACGCUGGCGGCACGCCUAAUACAUGCAAGUCGAACGAAGUAGCAAUACUUAGUGGCAGACGGGUGAGUAACAUGUGGGUAUCUUCCCUUUGGUGAGGAAUAACACGAGGAAACUUGUGCUAAUACCUCAUAAGUCUUUACGGAGAAAGCUUUAUGCGCCAAUGGAUGGGCCCGCACUUGAUUAGUUUGUUGGUGGGGUAAUGGCCUACCAAGACAAUGAUCAAUAGCUGAUUUGAGAGGAUGAUCAGCCACAUUGGGACUGAGACACGGCCCAAACUCUUACGGGAGGCAGCAGUAGGGAAUCUUGCACAAUGGGGGAAACCCUGAUGCAGCGAUGCCGCGUGAGUGAAGAAGGCCCUUGGGUUGUAAAGCUCUUUCGUCGGGGAAGAAAAUGACUGUACCCGAAUAAGAAGGUCCGGCUAACUUCGUGCCAGCAGCCGCGGUAAUACGAAGGGACCUAGCGUAGUUCGGAAUUACUGGGCUUAAAGAGUCCGUAGGUGGUUAAAAAAGUUGGUGGUGAAAUCCCAGAGCUUAACUCUGGAACUGCCAUCAAAACUUUUUAGCUAGAGUAUGACAGAGGAAAGCAGAAUUUCUAGUGUAGAGGUGAAAUUCGUAGAUAUUAGAAAGAAUACCAAUUGCGAAGGCAGCUUUCUGGAUCAUUACUGACACUGAGGAA